CCUACGGGAGGCAGCAGUGAGGAAUUUUGGACAAUGGACGCAAGCCUGAUCCAGCUAUUCCGCGUGUAGGAUGACGGCCUUCGGGUUGUAAACCACUUUUGUAGAGAACGAAAAGUCUGUUAAGAAUACCGAUAGAUGAUUACGGUACUCUAAGGAUCAGCACCGGCUAACUACGUGCCAGCCGCCGCGGUAAUACGUAGGAUGCGAUCGUUAAUCGGACUUACUGGGCGUAAAGGGUGUGCGGGCGGUUUGGCAAGAUGGAUGUGAAAGCCCCGGGCUUAACCUGGGAAAGCCAUACAUGACUGUAAGACUAGAGGGCGGCAGAGGGGGGCGGAAUGUCAAGUGUAGCAGUGAAAUGCGUAGAUAUUUGGAAGAACACCGAUGGCGAAGGCAGCCUCCUGGGACGCAACUGACGCUCAGACACGAAAGCGUGGGGAGCAAACAGGAUUAGAUACCCCAGUAGUC
rnacentral:rRNA from 1 species